AUUGAACUCUGGCGGCAGGCCUAACACAUGCAAGUCGAGCGGCUCGGCGGACGGGUGCGUAAUGCCUAGGAAUCUGCCUGUUAGUGGGGGAUAACGUCCGGUAACGGACGCUAAUACCACAUACUAUCAGAUGAGCCUAGGCCGGAUUAGCUAUUUGGUGGGGUAAGGGCCUACCAAGGCGACGAUCCGUAACUGGGCUGAGAGGAUGAUCAGUCACAAUGGAACUGAGACACGGUCCAGACUCCUACGGGAGGCAGCAGUGGGGAAUAUUGGACAAUGGGCGAAAGCCUGAUCCAGCCAUGCCGCGUGUGUGAAGAAGGUCUUCGGAUUGUAAAGCACUUUAAGUUGGGAGGCGUUACCAACAGAAUAAGCACCGGCUAACUUCGUGCCAGCAGCCGCGGUAAUUC
rnacentral:rRNA from 1 species